AGUGAACGCUGGCGGUAGGCCUAACACAUGCAAGUCGAACGGCAGCACAGUAAGAGCUUGCUCUUACGGGUGGCGAGUGGCGGACGGGUGAGGAAUACAUCGGAAUCUACUUUUUCGUGGGGGAUAACGUAGGGAAACUUACGCUAAUACCGCAUACGACCUACGGGUGAAAGCAGGGGAUCUUCGGACCUUGCGCGAUUGAAUGAGCCGAUGUCGGAUUAGCUAGUUGGCGGGGUAAAGGCCCACCAAGGCGACGAUCCGUAGCUGGUCUGAGAGGAUGAUCAGCAACACUGGACUGAGACACGGCCCAGACUCCUACGGGAGGCAGCAGUGGGGAAUAUUGGACAAUGGGCGAAAGCCUGAUCCAGCAAUGCCGCGUGAGUGAUGAAGGCCUUAGGGUUGUAAAGCUCUUUUACCCGGGAUGAUAAUGACAGUACCGGGAGAAUAAGCUCCGGCUAACUCCGUG
rnacentral:rRNA from 1 species